ensembl:lncRNA KRT10-AS1 KRT10 antisense RNA 1
AUACACUAUAUAUAUUAAGAAAACAUUUUGGCCCUCACUUUUUCCUCUUCAUUAAAGGUCACUUUUUUUUUGUCUUGGAUCUGUUGAGAUUAUCUUGAUACUAGUAACCUGCUAAAAUAUAUCUGUAGUUUUAUUCUAAAAUUUGAAUUUUUUUCAUACAUCACAUCAAAUUAAAAAGCUUCUGCACAGCAAAGGAAACAAUCAACAAAGUAAAGAGACAGCCCACGGAAUGAGAGAAAAUAUUUGCAAACUAUCCAUCUGACAGAGGGUUAAUAACCAGAAUAUAUAAGGAGCUCAAACAACUCAAUAGGAAAGAAAAUCUAAUAAUCUGAUAAAAAAAAUGGGCAAAAGAUCUGAAUAGACAUACAAAUCUCAAAAGACAUACAGGCUAGGCAUGGUGGCUCACACCUCUAAUCCCAGCACUUAGGGAGACUGGGAUGGGAGGACUACUUGAGCCUAGGAAUUCAAGACCAGCCUGGGUAACGUAGGGAGACCCCAUCUCUACAAAAAAUAAAAAUAAAUUAGCUGGGUGUGAUGGCAUGUGUCUGUAGUCCCAGCUACUUGGGAGGCUGAGGUGAGCCAUGUUCCUGCCACUGCACUCCAGCCUGGGCAACAGAGUGACCUCAAAAAAAAAAAAUAAGAAAACAUAUAAUGGCAAACAGAUGGAGCUAACACCCAUUAUGGAGAUUAACCACUUUUCAUCAGGUUUUUAACUUAAGUCGUGAGGAAUACAACGGUGAACACAAGAUUCAUUUUAUUUUCAUCACCAUGGGACGUAUCCUGUUGUUGAGUUCUCUGGGUCAGACCUCUGAAGACUUCUCAGAUGGAUCCUAGUCUCUGGGCUUGCCCUGAAAUUACUCGCUGCUCAGGGAGAGAGUUGAAAUGGUUGGCAUCCUCCCACUCUGUUGCUCCGGCUGUGUCCCCUCGCUCUGUUGUUCCAGCUAUGUGCCCUCUGUUGCUCCAACUGCAGCUCAUUCUGUUAGAGUUCCUCAUUCAGCUGGUCACUGUGGCCAGAGGGUGUUGGCCUGCUCCCUUCCUCAAGUAUUCUUAAAGCCAUGGAUUUUUGUGGAGCAUUUUUCUUCCUGGCUCUCCCUUGAGUUAUUUUCCUUUCUUCGCUAUCUUGGGACUCUUCUUUGUGCUUGCGGUCAUCGGUUGAGAGAAGGACUUCUUCUUCCUUGUCUCCUUGGUGUUGGCUCGUGGUUGCUCUUCAACAACUGGACUGGAGGCUCUUGGUUUUCUCUUCAUCUUCAACAAGUCAGUCUCUCUCAAGGGUCUCACGUUGCAGCAUUCUUACCAGAGGCCAUUGGGCCUGGAGUUCCAGUUCCAGUGUCUGGAGAGUCCACCUCAGCUCAGCAAUCUCAUGCCGGUUGGCAAUUGUCAGCAGAAGCCGAUGCCUGCCCAUCAGUUCUUUACUCUGAGGUGUUAGAGUGGAAUAAAAAUAUAAAUACUUAUACUAGUUUUCAUGACUUCUGCUUAAUAUUGGGUAUUUUUUUGUUUUGUUUUGUUUUGGCGGUGAUAGGCUUACCUUACAUUAAACCAGGCCUUAGCCUUUCUGUGGCUUUGUUAUGGCAAAGCCUCAUAUUACUCUCUAGUCUGGUUCAGCAGGACAGUCAGGUCCACACCUGGGGCUGUUUGUUUUCUACGUUUACCUCAACAUAAGGUACCUUAUCAUUGUCAGCCUUCAUCUCCUGAUCCAAAAUAAAAUAAAAUGCCACAGGUUACUUGAUUUUGCAUCUGGAAUAUGAUUAUUUAAAGAAAUUAAAAAUUUAAAACUGAAAAUGUAGAGUUUAGAAAUCUUUUUUAAGGUUUCAAAAAAAUUUCUAGGAGACAACAAAAUAGUGUUACUAGAUUUAGCAAAUAAAAUACAGAAUGCCAAUUAAAUUUGAAUUUCAAAUGAACAUUGAAUACUUUUUUUGGUAUAACUAUAUUCCAUGCAAUAUUUGGGACAUAUCUGUUAUAUUAUUCAUUGUUUACCUGAAAUUAUAAUUUAAACUGAGAGUUCUGUAUUUUAUCUGGCAACCUUAUUAUGAAAAUAUUUAGGAUCAAUAUAAAGGAAUAAUAUUUUUAAUUUUUACAAACUAUUUUAAUAUAAGUAAUUUAUUUGAUUUUCAUUGUCAUCCUGAGAGUUAAGUUUUGCCUUACAGUCUAUGUUACUUUACCUGUGUUUUAUGAAAAGACUGUCUCUUAUAAUGAUAGCCACCACCACCAUAUCUUGACAAGUAUUGACAUACUGAAACUUUAAAUUCAUUUUGUGUAGUUCCCGCCUCUUCAUGAUUGUUUCUGAGGUAAUUCAGCUUCUCCGUCUGGCUUUCCAUUUUCAACUCUAGGUUAGUCUUGUUCAAAGUCAACUCAUCUAAGACACUUCGCAGGCCCUUGCUAUCAGCCUCAACACAGUGAUAAAGGACAACUUUACUCUGGCAUCUGAACAGAGCCCAAUUGGAAGAAUCAAUACAGCUUAGAUGGAGGUCUCCUCAUCCAGUGGUAAUAAAACAUCCCACAUAGUGGAGCUUAGAGAGCACAGCACUGGGAUGUGAAGACAUGGGUUCAAAUUGCACCUCUGCCAUGUUCAGCUGUCACCUUGGGCAAAUUACUUCUCUGAACCUUAGUUUUCUC